UACGUAGGGUGCAAGCGUUGUCCGGAAUUAUUGGGCGUAAAGAGCUCGUAGGCGGUUUGUUGCGUCGGCUGUGAAAUCCCGAGGCUCAACCUCGGGUCUGCAGUCGAUACGAGCAAACUAGAGUGUUGCAGGGGAGACUGGAAUUCCUGGUGUAGCGGUGAAAUGCGCAGAUAUCAGGAGGAACACCGGUGGCGAAGGCGGGUCUCUGGGCAACAACUGACGCUGAGGAACGAAAGCUAGGGGAGCAAACAGG
rnacentral:rRNA from 1 species